UCUCCUGUAAGGACCAGGGGAGCAGGCAGCUGCAGGAGAAGGGGGAUGCGGGGGGCCAUGGGAUUACAAAUUCUCACAGCAGCCGAGCCCAGGCAGAGAAACCCUCCCUGUGAAGUGAGUUGAAUAGUGUCCUUCCCCCAUACCCCCUAAAAACUGACGUCCACUUGGAACCUCAGAAUGAGAACUUAUUGGGAAAUAGGGAUUUUUGCAGAUGUAAUGAUUUGAGGAUGUCAGGGUUAAAAUGAUCAGACUGGUGUCUUUAUAAGAGGAAAGUGAGGAAGGUUGGGACACAGAGGCACACAGCAUAGAAGGCCAGGUGAAGAUGGUGGCAGAGGUUGGAGUGAUGAUGCUGCCUCAAGCUAAGGGACACCGGGAGCCACUUGAAGCCGGAAGAGGCAAGGCAGGAUUCCCCGCUAGAGCUUUCAGAGGAGGCGUGGCCCUGCCAACACCUUGAUUUCAGACUUUUGGCCUCUAAAAUUGUGAGAGAAUAACUUUCUGUUUUGUUAAAGUCGUCCAAGUUGUGAUAAUUUGUUUAGACACACGCAGGAAACUAAUACAGCCUGGUGAGAUGAUAAGGCUGGGUAAAGUCCAGGAAACAAAGGGGCUUUCCAGUGCUUUUUAGUGGCAAAGUUCCUCAUCACUAUGGUUGUGAAACAGGACAGCUCUAUCCAGGAAACUUGCUCUGACUUCCUGUCUGGUGUCGGUAGCAGGUGAUUGAUAUCUUCCUUGUAAGUCAUGAGUCUUAAAUUGAGUGGUGCCUCCAUUUAAGAAAAGGAGGUUAGUGCAUAUUUCUGAGUGCUUGCUUCUUGAAUGAAUUUGAGAGAUAUUCACUAGAGACAUUGAAGUAGGUACUAGUCACAGACAGUGACCUCAUGGCGUUUUAGCAAAAGGAGAACGAGUUCUGUGAAUUUUGGUAAAGUGCUUUUAUGUGCUUAUUUAUGGCUGUGCUAUCAUCUGAAGCAGAACACAGAGAAGCAGCUAUUGCUGAUUUAGUUAUUAGACAUAAGAACAAAGGGUUAGGAGCUUCUAGGGCAUUAUUCAUUGACAAUAAUCCACAGCCUGCUAUGAACAAUGCUGCAUGCUGUGCAAAUAUAGCAAGAGUGCCUUCAUAAAUAAUGCCAGAAACACUAGUGGUGCCAAGGCAGAUAGAAUAUAUCGAUGGCAAGUUAAUGUGUUAGGCCCCUGGGUUUGCUUAAUUAUAUAGGCUGUUUUACCAUAGGCAAAUGAAGAAAAUUGCCUUAGCUAAACGCAGAUUUGGGAAUCCAUAAUCCUGUCUCUCUUCCCUACCCCCAGGUUUAAGAUAGAUCCUUCUAAUAAUGAUGCAAUUUGCUUGGCUCCCCCUGAAUUCUAUAUUCUUACAAGACCCAGUGCUGUUGUUCUCAUUUUGGUGAUGAGAAUGGAAUGUGUUUUUUCUUCUUGUAAUUAUCUUCUACAAGCAACCAAAAUGGAUUUUGAGCUUGUCCAAAGAUGUCAACAUCUGCUUAUUUUCAGGCUGUUUGUCUGCAUAGGAGGUAGUAGUCUAAAUCUAUUUCUCAAUUUAUGCAAAAUUGCAUCACCCACACAUUCAGGCCAUAUUCCUGAGAUGGGAAAAUGGGAGAUAAGUUUACUUAUAGGGAAUUUCUCUCUAGAAUGUGAUCAUGUAGCACGUAUUUAAAAGAUAAGAGAGAGAGUUUUCAUGGGGUUGCAUAAGACAAAGGUGAAUUGUUCUCAGAAUCAUACCAAAUGACAAGGUGGUAGGCAGAAUAAUGGCCCCCUACAGAUGUUCACAUCCUAAUCCCUGGAGCCUGUGAAUAUGUUACGUUACAUCACAAAUGACAUUUUGCGGCUGUUAUUAAAUUCAGUAUCUUGAGAUGGAGAGGUUAUCCUGGAUUAUCUGGAUGAGCCCAGUAUAAUUAUGAUGGUCUUUAUAAAUAGAAGAGGGAGGCAGGCCAGUUAGUGUUAGACUGAUGCACCAUGAGACUCAACUGGCCAUGGCCGAGUUUGAAGGUAGGCACGAGGCUACAACACAAGGAAUGUAGGCAGCAUAUAGAAGCUAAGAAAGGCAAUGUAUCUUGGCUGACACUUUGAUUUUAGCUGAGUGAGACUCAUGUCAGACUUCUGACCAUCAGAACUGUCAGAUAAUAAAUGUGUGUUGUUUUAAGCCA
ensembl:lncRNA novel transcript